CUGUAAUUGACACUGGCGAAUGUGGGACUGGAACUGACAAGGGGAGGAGAGAGUCCGAGCCAGCGACACCAACUCGCAUCUGCACCACUCGUACUAAUACUUGGCAAACCCUUCACCUCCUUAACCCUCGCGGAGCUACACAGACGCCGUGUCAGAAAACAUACCAACAAUACAUAAGACCAAAGCCAAGUGCUUGAAAAUCAAAUAAAACUGCUGGGGGCACUCGAGAGGUCAGCUCGUUUCCGCGGCGAGAGGAAACGGAGUCAGCCCUUCAAAAACGGCGAAGGAACCAAAUGCAAAGAAGUUUAUGUAACCUCUGUAUGUAUCAUGAGCGUAUUUGUCAGUACAUUCCUUGUUGUGGAGUAGCCAAGGCAGCAGGCAAACGUUAGAAUGAUAACGAACAGAUACAGAAGCAAAUUUGCUGCCACAUGGUGACGACAAAAUAUUCAACUGGAAGCUUUAAAACAACAGAAAAAGCAUAAAAUGUAUACAAUUGUAUGCAAUAUAUUGUACUGCUGCAGACAUUAAUCUGCAGUACAAUUAAGAAUGAAAUCCAUAAUGGGUCAAGCCCUAGUUAAAACGUUCGCUUCCUAUGAGAGUACUACAGGAAGGAGAAAAUUACUGAUAAACAAAACUAACAAGCAGUUUGUUAUCAUUGCUCUAAAGCAGUGGAAAAUGGAAACUAGUAUGUCAUUGUUUACAUUUCAAUGUUCAUUUACUAUAUAUCUAUCAGUAAUUUGACUUGCUUAAGUACCAAGCAAUCCGUGAGAAUGCAUGUCUAUGUUUUCAUCAAAAUUUGAAUUAUGUAUCAUAACUAUUCGCGUCUGUUAUAAAUGUGAAUAAAUAGUGAAAUAAC